AUUGAACGCUGGCGGCGUGCUUAACACAUGCAAGUCGAUCGGUAACGCGGGGGCAACCCUGGCGACGAGAGGCGGACGGGUGAGGAACGCUUGGGAAUCUGCCUAUCAGCGGGGGACAACACGGGGAAACUCGUGCUAAUACCGCAUACGCUCUACGGAGGAAAGCCGGGGACCGCAAGGCCUGGCACUGAUAGAUGAGCCCAAGUCGGAUUAGCUAGUUGGCGGGGUAACGGCCCACCAAGGCGACGAUCCGUAGCUGGUCUGAGAGGACGAUCAGCCACACUGGAACUGAGACACGGGCCAGACGCAUACGGGAGGCAGCAGUGGGGAAUAUUGGACAAUGGGGGAAACCCUGAUCCAGCGACGCCGCGUGGGUGAAGAAGGCCUGCGGGUUGUAAAGCCCUUUCGGUAGGGACGAAAGCUCUCGACCUAACACGUCGGGAGGUUGACUUAACCUACAAAAGAAGCACCGGCUAACUCUGUGCCAGCAGCCGCGGUAAGAC
rnacentral:rRNA from 1 species